CUAUCCUCAGGCUUCUGGGAUAGGAAUGGCAAGAGAUGGGGGUGGGGAAAGGAUGGCAGAAAUAGAUUUUUUAAUCAGUCAGCCCUGGGUUUUAUGGUCUUAUAUGAAUAACACACCUAUUCCAGACCCACUUCACACACCCCUGGGCCUACUCUGGAAAGGGUUGGGGAGCAAGGAUAACUUCCCUGCUGUGGGUGAUUCAUCAUGACCCUGGCUUAGUCACAGCAUGUCACCACAAGCCAGCAGAAGAAGCCAGCCCAGGGUGAAUUCUGGUCCUUUGGGAAAGAGACAUGCCUGCUCUUCAUUUCCCCAGGAUGACUGGGUAAGGUCCUGCCUAUGGGGAUCUGAAGCCAUGCCUCUAAGCCCCCUCUCUGGGGCACAUGGACAUGACAGAAGAAAAUACCUUAAAAGAAAAGAAAAGAAAGAGGGGGUGAGGGAGAAAGAAAGAAAGGAAGGAAGGAAAGAAACAAAGAGAGAAAGAGAAGACAGAGAGAGGGAGGAGAGAACAAAUCAUAACUAAGCUGGAAAGUAAGCAAGGAGAUAGGAAAGGAGGGGAUACCCAGCACCAAGCAGCUAUUCAAGUGUGUUCUUCCUUGGAGCACAGAGAACCUAUAAAUGCAGAGGCCAACAAGGUGGGAACAGGAAUGGCCUUGGGACAAGAAGAAGGCAAGCCCCUCUGCCCCUUCCUCCUUUCUCUUCUCCUCCUCUCCCCUUCAUACAUAAGGAUUUACAGCUAAUAAUGGUGGCUUUUGGCCCCUGAUAAGCCUGAGAUCUGCCCUUCAAAGAAUGUAAAGAAUGUGACCUUCUUGUUUAGGAAGAUGCUCCUGGAGUUGCCUGACGGAGAAGCAGAGACGAAAGGAGAAAAGAAAGGGAAGGCUUCCCUGUUCAAGAGAAAAUCACAUCAAAGUCCUCUACUCCCUCCCAUCUAACCAAAGAAAGGCAUUCCUGGGAAUUCCCUGUCGGUCCAGAGAAUGCAAGCCUGGAGCUGCCCGUAGCUGCUGCCGCCACUACACGAGUGGAGAACCUGCCUGAGAAUGAAGCCACCACCCAGGAAGGCUGAGCCAAGAUGGUUCCAGACACAUUCCUGAUAGUGAGUGCCUGGAAGGAGCCCUACCCUGGAACUGUUAAGCUGCUAAUGCUAAUAAAUGUCCUUUUCUGUUUAA